AGAGUUUGAUCCUGGCUCAGGACAAACGCUGGCGGCGUGCGUAACACAUGCAAGUCGGACGGGGGGUGAGGCUUCGGCCGCACUCCGAGUGGCGGACGGGUGCGUAACACGUGGAUGACCUACCGCGCGAUGGGGGAUACCCCCCAGAAAUGGGGGCUAAGACCGCAUGCGCUCGCGCUGGGCGACCGGUGCGAGGAAAG
rnacentral:rRNA from 1 species